rnacentral:misc_RNA from 1 species
AAUUAAAAGUUCGUAAUUUCAUUAAGGGGAACGUGAAGAAAUCUUUAGUUUAGGUCUUAUAUUGGAGAAAUGACAGAGAUGGGCGUUGUGCAGUUGAAAUUAUGUUUCAUAUGUUGAUUAGUGUAUCUGUUUUAUAUUUUCACACGUGGAAUCGAUAACAUACAUUCAUGAAAAUGUCGUAGGGAAGUUAGGCCUAACGUUAUGUUAAAAUCGGGAAUUGGUUCUAGUUUGAGAAGAAAAUAAUGACUUGUAGUUAUAAGUAUGACAGGAAAGAGUUAGACUGUAUAAUUAAGAUAUAAGAAAACGUUUAGGCUUUAGAAGUAGUAAACUUGGAACAGUUUAUAUUGACUGAUUGUAUUUGGUGUUUGGUAUAAUAAUCAAGAGUAAGAUUAUGAAUAUGAUUACAAAAAGAACGUUGGGUCUGAGCAACUACUGUUAAGCCUACUUUUCAGAACCUGAAUUCGGGUAGAGACUGGAGUGAUAAUUUUGAUACACAGUCUUGCACUGCAUUAUACAUGUCCAAUAAACACUUUAACGUAUUUCUGUAAAUUUAAAACUUGAAAUUAGCUGAUGUUAGUUUUGAAUUCAGCUAUUGGCCUAAGUAUAGGCUUUAAUUUUAAAUUUAGUCACAUGUAUCAAUUGAAUGAAACAAAAUUUUUAGAAAUUUUAUUGAAUAGAUUACCACAGUGACAUUACUUUCUUUUGUUGGACUUGAUAACAGGAUUGAAAAUGAGCAAAUUGUCAUUUAGAGCACGUGCGUUAGAUACAUCAAAACCAAUACCACUACUCAGGUCUGAAGAAAUUCCAGACCUACCAGAUUUUGCAGCAAUCAACCGAGCAGUACCUCAGAUGCCAACAGGAAUGGAGAAAGAAGAGGAAUGUGAACAUCAUUUACAAAGAGCGAUAUCAGCUCAACAAGCUUUUGGUCAUACAGGAGAACUAGUUAUUCCUACACCUGAAGUAUAUACUACAAUUGAAGAAAUAUACCAAUCUUUGUAUCCUGCAGAUUACAAGGUUUCAAGACAACUUAGACAUAUGCAGCCCUUUGCAGUUGAUCAUGAUAUUCCUGACUAUGACAUGGAUUCAGAUGAUGAAAGAUGGCUGACACAACAAGCUAAAAAGAUGGAAGUUACACCUCUACAGUUUGAAGAAAUGAUGGAUCGUUUGGAGAAAAGUAGUGGGCAACAAGUUGUUACACUGAAAGAAGCUAAACUUCUUCUGAAGGAAGAUGAUGAUCUUAUUAUUGCAGUUUAUGACUAUUGGUUGAACAAAAGAUUGAGAAUGCAAUAUCCAUUAAUUUUGCAAGUUAAAACAGAAAAAAGGGAUGGUUCAACUACCAACAAUCCUUAUGUAGCAUUUCGAAGGCGCACAGAGAAAAUGCAAACAAGAAAGAACAGGAAAAAUGAUGAAACAUCUUACGAAAAAAUGUUGAAAUUGAGAAGAGACCUUAGUAGGGCUGUUACAUUGUUAGAAAUGGUCAAAAGGAGAGAGAAAACAAAGAGGGAACAUCUUCACUUGACCGUUGAGAUUUUUGAAAAAAGGUAUCAAGCUGGAGAUUACACAGGACAAAUUUUAGCAGAAGUGUCUGCAUUAAAGCUUGCUCGAAAAUCUUAUAUUUCAUUUAAAAACCAACUUGUAUCUAAGCAUGAAAUACGAGUAACCAAGCACAAGCUAAAAAGGCGUAUGGAUGAAGGAAUACCAAGAAGAAGAAGGGAAUACAUAAAAAAGAAAUACAAGCAAGAAAUUUCCCUAUCUUUGCGCAGACAGCUUUCAUCAGCACAGAAGAUUGACACAGAAAUAAAUUAUUCAGAUAUAUUUAGUUCUGAUGAUGAUGGCUUUUCCCCAGUUACCUCACCAUCAGAUGUGGAGGAUGAUGAUGAUCCUGAUGGAUCUUUUGUAUUUAGAAGAAAGAAGUUUUGCUAUUACCAUGCACCUCUAAGGGAAAGACUAGGAAACUGGCCUUGGUGUAACCCUCAAGAGGAAGGUAAAGGUAGUCGUAACUAUAGGUUUUGCUUAACAUCGUUACUGUUUCCAGAAAGGAGAUGUAUAGGUUUUGCAAGAAGGAGAAUGGGCAGAGGUGGCAGGCUUUUGCUCGACCGUGCCUGGACACCCCUAGAUGAUUAUUGGAGCAAUUUAGAUGUAACAUUCAACAACUCGCUGUUAAAUGGGAUUCCAUCCAAUACAUUUUUAUCAGAAGUAAUAAAUGAGUGCCACAAAACUACCAUUCUAUUGGAUGUCACUCUACACCUUUUGUCUUGAGAAUGUUGAACUUUCUGGCUUUACUCUGGUUACCACCACUAUCAGACAUGAGUCAUCACCAAGAAGACUUGUUUGAAAUGCAGCGAAAGCAACUUGAAAGAUUAAAGCAACAAGAACUCAGUACAGAAAUCUCAAAGAACCUUGAACAUUCCUUUUC